rnacentral:misc_RNA from 1 species
UCAAACUUGGUCAUUUAGAGGAAGUAAAAGUCGUAACAAGGUCUCCGUUGGUGAACCAGCGGAGGGAUCAUUACAGAGUGUAAAAACUCCUUAAACCCACUGUGAACUUACCUGCUGUAUUACUAUGCUGCUUCGGCAAGCGGUCCCUGGGAGGGACCACAUCUGCCCGCAAGGGGUGCUUGCCGAAAGCCCUAUAUUUUUUUUAAAACUCUCCUGUUUUUAUAACUGAAAAUCUGAGCCUGAAACAAAAAUAAGUCAAAACUUUCAACAACGGAUCUCUUGGUUCUGGCAUCGAUGAAGAACGCAGC